GGGAAGCGCGGGCCCGGCGCGGCCAUGGCGGACGAGCUGUACCUGGAGAACAUCGACGAGUUCGUCACCGACCAGAACCGCGUCGUGACAUACAAAUGGCUGAGCUACACCCUGGGCGUCCAUGUCAACCAGGCUAAACAAAUGCUCUAUGAUUAUGUGGAGAGGAAACGGAAGGAGAACUCAGGAGCUCAGCUUCACGUCACCUACCUGGUAGCCGGAAACCUCCUCCAGAACGGACACGUUUGCCACAAGGUUGCAGUAGUGAGGGAGGAUGCACUCGAAGCCAUGAAGUCUAAGCUGUCCACAAUUGCCAGCGUGCAUGUGUACAGCAUUCAGAAGGCCCUGCUCAAGGACAGCUCCCCCCUCUACAACACCGACUACGACAUCGUCAAAUCCAACCUGCAGCACUGCAGCAAGUUCAGCGCCAUCCGCUGUGCUGCCGCCGUGCUGAGGACACCGCCUGACGCUGCCCGAGCGCCGGCGCAGAGCCCCCAGAGGCAAAGGGACCCCGGCGCUGCUGGCGUGGUCAAUGGCCACGGGCCCCCGGCUGCCAAAGCGCCCCCGCAGCAGCACAAAGGGAUCAUGGGGAUGUUCGCGGCCAAAGCGGCGGCCAAACCCCAGGACACACCUAGGGAGACCAAAGCAGAGGCCAAGGAGGCCCCAGGUGUGUCUGCAGCAAGCAGCAAGCCAUCAAUAAAGAACAACAUCAUGAACAACUUUUUUGGAAAAGCUGCUAUGAAUAAACUUAAAGCCAACUCUGUGCCUGAGCAGCCAAAGGAGGAGAAGGAGGUAGUGAAGCCUUCAGUUGCUGUAGCAGAACCAGAGUCAUCUCCUAAUACUGUAGCAGAGAAACCUGGGAAGAAAACAGAGACUGCUAGAAUUCAGCAAAAGGACAAGAAAAGUAAAAUGAAGAGAGCGGAUAGGUCAGACGACGAGGAAGAAAGAGAUCCUGAAAAUGUCAAGAAAAAGAGGAAGCGAAUCAAACAACUGCAGUCUGACAGCAGUGAUGAGGAAGAUGUCCCACCAUCCCCCACAGCCGAGGAAGAGAGAGCUCCAUCUCCACCACCUGUACCUGCUCUGAAAACUGAACAGGAGUCUGCAUCCACAGAGGGCUCAGGUGGAGCGAGGAAGAGGAAGCGGAAGCGUGUGCUGAAAUCCAAGAUGUUUAUUGAUGAAGAGGAAGGCUGUAUGGUGACUGAGAAGGUUUAUGAGAGCGAAUCCUGCACGGACAGCGAGGAUGAGUUUCCCAAGCCCAAGGCGCCGGCUCCACACAAACAACCCGUGCUGCCCACGAAGAGAGAACCAAAAGAGGAAAGGAAGAACCUGAAGAAAGGGGCAGCUCCUGCCAACAGAGCCAACAAACAGGUCUCCAUCAUGGGCUUUUUCCAGAAGAAAUGAACUGGGUCGGUCUCCCAGUCCUCUUGGCAGCUUUGGGAGUGUUGCUCCCUUUUUUCGUGUGGCUCUCUGCAAGCUGCUGCUGCUUGUGGAGGCCAACGUGCAACCCCUGGUUAUGCAAGGUGUCCUGCUUACUGUGUAAGGAAGCCCUCUGGACUAGAUUUUGUAUCAGAGAAAAGUUUUUAUUCGUUACUGCAGUCAUUUCAGUCAUCUUCACUAAGCGGUGUGGGAACUGCCAGCUAGAAGCAACAUCUAGAGGAAUUCUUGAAAGGCUGUUAAAUCUGUUCACAUGAAAUUGUAUUUUUUGUAAUGACCCCUUUGGUGCUAAGUUAGAAGAGGAGUUGGGGCGUUUUUCUCGCCUCUUUGUAUGCCCUCAGCUCUUCAGAUUGAUCCAGAUGUUCACGUGGGGUAGAAGCUGUAAUGUAGCAGAUCUUCAGGCACAGACACAAAUAUUGAACAUCUGCUUCAGCUUUAACUGAAUGAAAUGUGCUUCAUUUUCCCCCUAAGACUGGUAAAUAGUUUUUGCUCUGCCUUUCAUAAUCUUUUUUUGGACAAAGCAGCACAUAUAAAAUUCUCUUACUCUUUUCUUCCUUGAACGUAUCCUCUUGUAACUUGCUCAGAUGCCUAAUUAUAGACUGGGACACUGUUGGUGUUCUGUCUUUACAAAAACAUCCUUGAGGCUUCCCACCCAAUUGGCUCUGGAGUAAUUGGGGGAAGGCUUUGCUGUUAUUGGGAAAGAACUGAAUCUUUAGCCUUGGAGGCCAGUGAGUCAGAGGGAAGGGUGAUUAGAGGGCACUGCUGAUAACACCAGGCAGGUACAGGGAACAGUGCAGCUGCAUUGCAGGGUUGGUAGCUGUUGUCUGAAGGGUUUUUUUACAGGCAUAAGCCAGACAAGAGAAGAGUUUUUCCGUGGACAUCUCGUCAUCUGCCUGCUGAAGGAAGUGUGUCACGGCACAUGGUCCUGAGGAACCUGUUAUGGGAGAGGAAUAAAGCACAGCAAUCCUGUUAACCAGGAAGGAGCUCUUGAUCUGAGCCUCCUGCUUGGCUGGUGCUGAGGCUGAUAGACAGAUGGAAAAGAUUUCCCAGAGGGGUUGAUGCAGAGCACUCCUGAAGCUUGGGCUGGGUUGUGAUAUUUGACUGCAUGGAAGUCAAAGACAUUUCUCUGGUGAAGUGGGUGAAGAUUUCUUCCAUCAAAACCAGGGCCGGAAGCUUUGAACAGAGUGUUUUUGGGCAUCUGAAACCUCGGAAAACCAGGAUUUGUAUUGAAUUUGGACCCCUGGAGUGUCAUUCCUGUGGCAGAGGGACAGGAUGGGGUGUCCUGGUGCUCCUGCUCCUCACCUCUGCCGUGGUCUCACUGGAACUCCUGGCUCCACCCCGACUCCUGUAACCAGAUCGACGUCAUACGGCACUUCCUCAGGAAAAUGACUUAAUGUCUGCAGGAGCAGGACCCGGGAGAACUUCACACUUCCAAAAAUCAUGAUCUCAUACUCCCCACUCCUGCACUCCAUGGGCUGCCAGCCCCAGGGGGGCUUCAGGCCCCUGGAUGCCCCCUUGGCCGAGGCUGGAGUGUCCCCACGCGGUGCCUGGGAGCAAGGAAUUGGGGCUGGAGAGAGGGAGAGGGCUCCCUGGUGCCUGGGGUCACUCCUUUGGCACUCAGGGACUGGAGGGGGCAAAAUGUCCCGGCACCAGGCUCUGGCUCUUGGAACAUGGAGCACAUCUCCUGCCUUGGGAUGUGGUACUGGUGGGGCUCAGGGUCCAAAGGCUCCUCCUGGAGAUGCAGAGAUCUUUAUACCCAUGCAUGUGUCAUUUUUAUGUGGAGAUCAAAUCCCAGGGGAAUCUGCUCUCCUCUUCCCCCUGUAUCUCCCUUCCCACCACAUUUACACCCUCAGAAGAGGCAGUGGGAGAGGUUCAUUCAAUGAAGUGCAGUUUAUAGUGUUUUUUUUUCCUCACAGCUUUAUUUCAGGCAGAGGAAUCUUUAUCCUUGUUUUCCAGGUGCACUGAGGAGUUGCACUGUCAGACACCCCAGGCUGGAGCUAUAGCUGCACUGGGCUCUUGUGGGACAAGGUGCUUCUGAACCAGCAGUCCCUGGGAGGGGGCUGGAAGUGCUGCUCUGAGGGAUACAAAAGCCCCAUCCCUUGUUCAGGAGACGGCUGAGCUGAUUUAUGACCUUCCUUCCCACAGGGCAGAGCCUGCUCGGAAAAAGCCCUCACGCACUUCCCGCUCGGGCCCCGCUCGGGCCCCUGGGAGAGAGCAGCCUGAGGGAUCCGAGGAAGCGCCGCUGGCGCUGCCGGGGGACAACUGGGCUGGGCAGGAGGGUGUCCCGGCAGCCGGCUGGGAAU